CAUUAUCGUGCAUUAUAUAUUGAUGUUUAUAUUGAUAAAAACAAAAACUUAUUCAGUUAUAAACUUAUAAUGACUGAGUGUUGGGUAAUUGGUGCACAGUUGGCCAGUUGCACACAAUAUGAUACUUCCUUCGUUUCUUUUUAGUUGACAUGUUUCCUUAGUCACGUUUGCUGAUGCAUAACUUCAACCAUUUAUAUCCUUAAUCACCAAUAAUAAAAAAAAUAUGAAAAAUUGAUAUUUUGAAAAUAAAUACCAUGACGAAUGUUACAAGAUUCCACAUGACUAUAUUUUUCAUUACAUAUAAAACACAAAAUACGGUCAAAGAGGAGUGUGUGAAUAAAGUCAAAACGUGUCAACUAAAAAAAACGGAGGUAUUAUUAAUUAAGUGAAAUAUUCUCAUAUUCAUAUGUAAGAUUACAAACACACUUGUUGAUCAAUUAAAAAUUUUCAAAAUUUCAAUUUUAACAAAGUUACAACUUAAAAGUGAAAAUUUAAGAGGGAAACAAAAAUAAAACAUUUAACUUGGUUAAAAAUUGUGGGAAAUUCUUCCCCCCAAAUGGCUAAAACUCCAAAAGUAUUUCAUUGUGAGGAUAAGAGGUAAAUUAUUAGCGGGAAUACUCCCUCCAAAUUUCCACGAGUAAAAGUAAAGUGACUAAAUUCUAAAAUACGAAAAACAAAAAUAAAAGUAAAACAAUAAGGAAAAAAAAAAUCUACAGCCCUAGAAUCUUCCUCAGCCGUUUUAAUUUUUUCAUUCCAUCCAUUACUCCAUUGAAGUCCAAUCUCUCUCUUUUGUCUGCACUCUUCUCUAAUCUCUACACACUUCACCUCAUUUUCCAUUGAAGCGUUUUUUACUCAAGUGGCCUAGAAGAUUUCGUAUUCCCAGAAUCUCAGCAAUGGAUGAUCAUAUUAUUAUGACGAGCCUAUUAUUUCACCAAAGGGAACAAAGGAUGAGUGGACACCAGAAGAAGAAGCCCAUGUUCGAACACAAGAGGAAGAAGCCGGUGAUCCUGAACUUACAGUUGAAAACAACAAUGUGAGCACUAUGGAAUCUGGAUUUCAAGUUGUAGAAAAGAAACGGAGUCUAGUUUGGUCGGAAUUCCAAAUGUUUGACAAGACGGAAUCUAGUGAUGGGAACGGAGGUCAAUUUGCAAACAUUUCCAAAAAGCAUCCUUCAUAACCGACCCCCAUUAUGGAACCCAAAAUAUGCAACGACAUCUAAGAAAAUGCAGUGCAUAUGAGAAAUAUACGAAAAUCCAAGGAGGAAACGGUUCAAACAAAGGUAAAAUCUUUAACCAAAUUGUGUAUAGAAAUCUGGUAGCUAAAGCCAUAUAAAACAUGGGUAUGCUUUCUCUUGGGUUGAGCAUGAGGGUAAUAGAAAAAAUCAUGCAUAUUUAAGUGAUGAUGUAAAGUUCAUUUGUAGGUCCACUGCUAAAGCUGAUUGUUUAAAAAUGCAUAAAACUUUGAAGGCUCAGUUAAAGGAAACACUUAAUAAAGUCUCUAGUCGUAUCUCAUUAACAUGUGAUAUGUGGACCUCUUGUCAAACUGAGGAAUAUUUGUGUCUGACAACUCACUAUGUGAAUGAUAAUUGGAAAUUAAUUAGUACGGUGCUUAACUUUAGUCAUAUUGAUUCACCACACACUGGAAAUACCAUGUAUGCUGUUGUGUUGUCCAUGCUUCAAGAUUGGGGUAUUGAUGAUAAGAUUUUUUGCUUCACAUUAGACAAUGCCUCUAGUAAUGAUAGAAUGCAAGAUUAUUUGAAAGAAACUCUACUUGCACGAGAUGUUUUGUUGUAUAAUGGUGAGUUUUUUCGUGUACGAUUGCACAUGUAUUAAAUCUCAUUGCUAAAGAUGGAAUUUAGGUCAUUGAACAUAUAGUUGAGAAAGUAAGACAUUGUGUGAAGAAGGUAAAAUAUUCUGAAAUAAGAAAAAACACUUUUCGAUCUUGUGUAAGUCUAGCUAAGAUAAAAGAAACAAAAUCAUUGUGCCUUGAUGUUCCUACGAGGUGGAACUCUACGUACAUGAUGCUUGAUAGGGCUAUCUUAUAUCGUGAGGCUUUUAGGGAGAUGUCUGAAGUUCAAAAAUGGUGUCCUACCUUUGAAGAGUGGGAUGUUCUUGAGAAGAUUCGAGAUUUUUAGAACCCAACUAUGAGAUAACUAAGAUGUUUUCGGGAAGUGAGUAUCCUACCUCAAAUCUUUAUUUUGGGAAUGUUUGGAAGAUUCUCAUACUUUUGAUAGAGUUGGAGCACGAUGAUGAUGAUAUUUUGAGGACAAUGACAAUAGAAAUGAAGAGCAAGUUCGAUAAGUAUUGGUUUAACUCUGAACAAGAUGAUUAUGGCACGUUAUUUGCAUUUGCUAUGAUUCUUGAUCCUCGUUGCAAAUUAUCAGUGCUAAAGUUUUGUUAUGAAAACAUAUUUGGAGAUGUUGAGGCUACCUUGAGAGUUAGUGAUCUCCAUCUUAAAUUGGAGAAAUUUUAUAAGCUAUAUGCCCACUUGGAACAUCAUCGACAUUGAACAACAACACUGAUAUGGCACAUGCCUCACAUUCCAGAGCCUCCAUAAGCAGCACUUCAACUGGAAAACCGCAAGCGAAAAUUCGACUAUUUUGCAGAAUAUGACGAUAAAGAGGCCUCAUCUUCUUUUGGUGAGAGGUCAAUAUUGGAUGUUUACCUUGAGAACCCUAAACUAGAUCGGAAAGCGGAACUUGGCAUAUUAGCUUUUUGGAAAGAAAAUGAGCAUCGAUAUAAAGGCCUUUCUCAUUUGGCCAGAGAUAUUUUGGCCGUGCCCCUGACAACCGUCGCUUCCGAAUCAACUUUCAGCAUUUGGGGGUCGAGUAUUGAAUAAAUGGAAAAGUUCAUCAAUUCCUGAAAAAUGUGGAGGCUUUAAUAACAACUCGUAGUUGGAUGUACUCUUUUGAAAGUAAGUAUUUUAUUAUAUUUUUUUUAAAAUAUGUAUAUUCAUAUUCCUACAUUUUUUAGAGUUGUACAUUCUUGUUUCUUUAUUUUUGCAUUUAUAGUGUAUUUGCUUAUAUUAUUGUUUUUAUAUUUAUGUGGCAAAUGAGGAUGAUGGAUUUUUUGGUUCUUAUGUGGAUUGGGCGGCGGCUCCAAGUGUUAAAUGUCAACAAUUUUAAGAGUCGAAUAUUGGAGUAUAAUUAUUUAGAAGAUUUUGUAAUUUCAUUUGGUAUUGAACAUUAUGUUAUGUACGCAUUAUUAUUGUACUGUUUUUUUUUUCUAGACUUGUGAGAAUUGUGACUUUUAUUUCAAGCUAUAGUAAAUUUUUUCUUAAUCUUAUGGACAAACUCCGUAGAAUAGUCGUUAAAUUUCAAUCUUUUUACGAAUUUUUAAUAUUUUAUAAAGAGAAAAGGCCGAAGAAAUCGAGAAAAGUAAUGCUCAAAAUAUGUAAAUUACUUACACUGUUACACAUUACAAAUUAAUAAAAAAAAAAUUAAGUCAGUUUGAUUGCGGUUAUUUUCUAUUUCGGUUUGCUCAGGUCAAACCGUUAGCUUAAAUAGAUUCUGGUCAUUUCAAGUAUAAGGUAAUUUUAGUUCGGGUCACUUUGGGUUUCGAGUCUAUUUGGGUCAAUUAAUUCAAGUUAAAGGUCGGGUCACUUUGGGUAUCGGGUCAACUUCGGGUCUCGGGUCACUUUGGGUCUCGGGUCACCUUCAGGUCGGGUCAUUUCGGGUUUCAGGUCAAGGUCGGGUCAAUUCCACUUCUGGUCGGGUAUGGGUCGAGUCGGGUUGAUUUCAGGUUUCGGGUCAAUUUCGGGUCAUUCGAGUCGGAUUAUCGGGUUUGGGUCAGGAUUGCCAGGUCUAAUGGUAACCCUUAACAACUCCUAUGACUUUAUUACUAGGUUAUAUAAUGUUCUAAUUAAAAAAAUAUUUGUGCAUUUGAUUUAUCAAAUUUGAAUUUAUUAGAACUUUUUAGUCUAAAUUGAAGUUAGGUGACUGCUAUUUACUCUUAUUAAAAUUUAUUAAUUUUAUUUUUCCUUAAAUUAGUGAAAAUAAAGUGAACAGAACGUGAACUUGUUUUUUUUAAUAAAGAAUUAAGGAUCGAUUAAGACUAAAACUCUUAAAGUUGUACAGAGUACUAAAUCUUUAGUUUUAGAAUGGAUAUAAAACAACGCAUAUUCUUACAUGCAUCCUCAUGCAUGUAAGAUAGCUGCAACAACAUGAAACGCACAACAUCCUACAUGAAACGCAGCCCAGCUCUACCGUUCUUCCCGCGUUAGUUUGUUUCCUUUUAAAAAAAAUUGGUUUCCUUCUUCCCAAUUCUCUCUCUUC